GACGAACGCUGGCGGCGUGCUUAACACAUGCAAGUCGAGCGAGGCCCCUCCUUCGGGAGGGUGUCCUAGCGGCGAACGGGUGAGUAACACGUGGGCAACCUGCCCUCAGCUCUGGGAUAACCCCGGGAAACCGGGGGCUAAUACCGGAUACGACCUCCACGGGCAUCUGCGGAGGUGGAAAGGGUUUCCGGCUGAGGAUGGGCCCGCGGCCUAUCAGCUAGUUGGUGGGGUGAUAGCCCACCAAGGCGACGACGGGUAGCCGGCCUGAGAGGGCGACCGGCCACACUGGGACUGAGACACGGCCCAGACUCCUACGGGAGGCAGCAGUGGGGAAUAUUGCGCAAUGGGCGAAAGCCUGACGCAGCGACG
rnacentral:rRNA from 1 species